rnacentral:lncRNA from 1 species
GGUCACCGGCCAUCCAAGAGAUUUUUUGACCUCUGAAUAUGAGUGCAAAUAGGCUAAAUAUAGGGAAAACAGGCAUAAAAUAUCUUUGAUUGAAUUUUCAGAGCAAAAUAAAUGACAGAAGUUGCUCAUUAUUUCAUACUGUAAAGUUUGAUGUCUUUAUUUUAUAAAAUUGAAAUAAAAUUUGGGGGUAACCGGCCAUCCAAGAGAUUUUUUGACCUCUGAAAAUGAGUGCAAAUAGGCUAAAUAUAAGGAAAACAGGCAUAAAAUAUCUUUUAUUGAAUUUUCAGAGCAAAAUAAAUGACAGACGUUGCUCAUUUUUUCAUACUGUAAAGCUUGAUG